AAAAUAAUUUCAUGUUUUUUCAAAUAGAAUUUUUCAGAUUCAGCUAUCAUUAUUACUCUUUCAAGUUUCAUUGCAAUUGACGCAUGAAUGAAUGUGUUUUUGAAAGCUCAUUGACUUUGAAGAGUGUUUCCUCAUUAUGCUGUCGAUACUAGAUACUAUUGAAUUUUUCAUGAUUUUGUAAACCCCAUCACGAAAUUCAGAUGUAUUCAAGUGAAAUUAGUUUGAUUUUACUCACAAACUUGACUUGUUUUGAAAAUCAAACUUUUUAUGUUGGAAUGUUUAACUUGACUUGAUUUGUUUGAAGUUGAAUAUUAUAUUGCGCAUCGUGUUUGAACCUGUACCCUGCCACUCCCCAAAUGAGUUAUUGUUCAUAAUUAGAAGAGGGCGCAAUUAAUCAACAAGAAAAAGAAAUAUACAGAUUUUUUUUUUAUGUUGCGGUAGGCGAUUCCAAAACAAUGAAAAUUGGAAAGUGAAAAUUCUUCAUUUGAGGAAUGCCAGAGAACAGGUUCAGACACGUUGAGCAAUGUGCUAUUCAAACUUUAAACAAUUUGAAAAAGUUUGAUUUCAAGCCAAACCUAAAGAUACAUAAAUCAAGUCAAGUCAAACUGUUUUUACAUUUAAAAUUUGAUUUUCAAACUAGUUUGACUUGAAUACAUCUCUGAUAUUUUCAGUUUGUGAUAGAAAUGCUCAUUUUGAAUGAGGCAAUUACCACAAGUAGCAACCGUUGGUCAGUAUUGUCAUUAAUCUUAGAAUUUUUUACAGACCACAUCUUGCAGAUCACACCUAUGCAAUCUCGCAUUUGUGUGAUGAUUGUGCCAGGCGGCGGGAUCAGGUGAUGGGAAGAGUAAGGCCAUUGCCUUCUACGUCUAGAAGGCCUUCUACGUUUAGAAGGCCUAAACGAAUACUCCACGUGCAUAUCAUCAUAGAUGAAGAUAUUCAUGAUGAGCACGAACGCCGGGAACGCCGGAAACGCAGGAAGCCUGGCACCUGAACAUGAAAAGAAGAAAAGAAAAAUAUUUUAAAGAGGGGACCACUGAAGCUAUUCAGCAAAGCUGAAAAUAGAAUUUUCGAUUUGCAAGCAAAAAACUUCUGACUGAUUAGAUAUUCUGAUUUUCAGAACAGAACUGGCAUCAUAUUAUUUCAUCGAGAAAGGAUGCUUAUAUUCGGAUAUAUCAGCCUUUAACAAGUUCCCCACAAAAAUAAAAGCGAUAAAUAAUGAAAGAUUGUUUAAAAGUCAGGUCAAACAAUUACUGCUGAUCCUGGAGCCAUAUUGCUUAUCGGAGUAUUCUGAAUGUAAAUUGGAUGAAAAUAGAUAAUGUUUAGAAAUA